GAUGGUGGGUCAAGUCCCGCAACGAGCGCAACCCUUGUGGCAUGUUGCUAACAGGAAAAGCUGAGGACUCAUGCCAGACUGCCGGUGACAAACCGGAGGAAGGCGGGGAUGACGUCAAAUCAUCAUGCCCCUUAUGGCCUGGGCUACACACGUACUACAAUGGCGGCUACAAAGAGCAGCGAGACAGGGAUGUCGAGCGAAUCUCAUAAAAGCCGUCCCAGUUCGGAUUGGAGGCUGCAACCCGCCUCCAUGAAGUUGGAAUCGCUAGUAAUCGCGGAUCAGCAUGCCGCGGUGAAUACGUUCCCGGGCCUUGUACACACCGCCCGUCAAACCAUGGGAGUCGGUAAUGCCCGAAGCCGGUGGCAUGACCUCAUUAGAGGAGUGAGCCGUCGAAGGCAGGAUCGAUGACUGGGGUUAAGUCGUAACAAGGUAACGU
rnacentral:rRNA from 1 species